rnacentral:sRNA from 1 species
UAUUGAACAACGCAAAUUCCACGUCCACGUUCUUGCUAAUUCGCCGUCCGAGGCGCGCCUUGCGCAGCGCCCACGACUGCCGGCUCAGACAAGGACUCAGGAUGGAGAAGAAUCAACGCGAACAAUCUUGGGUGCGGUGCUUUCCGGACUGACAGGUCUCGUGGGAAGGAUCGCAAUGAUUGAACGUACAU